GAUGAACGCUGGCGGCGUGCCUAAUACAUGCAAGUCGAGCGAACAGACGAGGAGCUUGCUCCUCUGACGUUAGCGGCGGACGGGUGAGUAACACGUGGAUAACCUACCUAUAAGACUGGGAUAACUUUGGGAAACCGGAGCUAAUACCGGAUAAUAUAUUGAACCGCAUGGUUCAAUAGUGAAAGACGGUUUUGCUGUCACUUAUAGAUGGAUCCGCGCCGCAUUAGCUAGUUGGUAAGGUAACGGCUUACCAAGGCGACGAUGCGUAGCCGACCUGAGAGGAUGAUCGGCCACACUGAAACAGAGACACGGUCCAGACUCCUACGGGAGGCAGCAGUAGGGAAUCUUCCGCAAUGGGCGAAAGCCUGACGGAGCAACGCCGCGUGAGUGAUGAAGGUCUUCGGAUCGUAAAACUCUGUUAUUAGGGAAGAACAAAUGUGUAAGUAACUAUGCACGUCUUGACGGUACCUAAUCAGAAAGCCACGGCUAACUACGUG
rnacentral:rRNA from 1 species